rnacentral:rRNA from 1 species
AAUAGAUACCCAGGUAGUCCACGCCGUAAACGUUGGGCACUAGGUGUGGGGUCUAUUCAACGGACUCCGUGCCGUCGCUAACGCAUUAAGUGCCCCGCCUGGGGAGUACGGCCGCAAGGCUAAAACUCAAAGGAAUUGACGGGGGGCCCGCACAAGCAGCGGAGCAUGUUGCUUAAUUCGAGGCAACGCGAAGAACCUUACCUGGGUUUGACAUGUAGAGAAAAGCCAUAGAGAUAUGGUGUCCUUCGGGGUUCUACACAGGUGGUGCAUGGUUGUCGUCAGCUCGUGUCGUGAGAUGUUGGGUUAAGUCCCGCAACGAGCGCAACCCUUGUCCUAUGUUGCCAGCACGUCAUGGUGGGGACUCGUAGGAGACUGCCGGGGUCAACUCGGAGGAAGGUGGGGACGACGUCAAAGUCAUCAUGCCCCUUAUAUCCAGGGCUGCAAACAUGCUACAAUGGCCGGUACAAAGGGCUGCGAAACCGCGAGGUGGAGCGAAUCCCAUAAAGCCGGUCUCAGUUCGGAUUGGAGUCUGCAACUCGACUCC